GCUCCCUUCGUCUAGCGGUCCAGGACGUCGCCCUCUCACGGCGAAAACACGGGUUCGAGUCCCGUAGGGAGUA
rnacentral:tRNA from 1 species